rnacentral:rRNA from 1 species
GACGAACGCUGGCGGCGUGCCUAAUACAUGCAAGUCGAGCGGACAGAUAAGGAGCUUGCUCCUUUGAAGUCAGCGGCGGACGGGUGAGUAACACGUGGGCAACCUGCCCUGUAGACUGGGAUAACUUCGGGAAACCGGAGCUAAUACCGGAUAAUACUUUUGAACUCAUGUUUGAAAGUUGAAAGAUGGUUUCGGCUAUCACUAUAGGAUGGGCCCGCGGCGCAUUAGCUAGUUGGUAAGGUAACGGCUUACCAAGGCAACGAUGCGUAGCCGACCUGAGAGGGUGAUCGGCCACACUGGGACUGAGACACGGCCCAGACUCCUACGGGAGGCAGCAGUAGGGAAUCUUCCGCAAUGGACGAAAGUCUGACGGAGCAACGCCGCGUGAACGAAGAAGGCCUUCGGGUCGUAAAGUUCUGUUGUUAGGGAAGAACAAGUACGAUAGUAACUGAUCGUACCUUGACGGUACCUAACCAGAAAGCCACGGCUAACUACGUGCCAGCAGCCGCGGUAAAAC